rnacentral:rRNA from 1 species
AUUGAACGCUGGCGGCAUGCUUUACACAUGCAAGUCGAACGGUAACAGGCCUUCGGGUGCUGACGAGUGGCGCACGGGUGAGUAAUGCAUCGGAACGUACCCAGAGGCGGAGGAUAACGCAGCGAAAGCUGUGCUAAUACCGCAUGUGAUCUGAGGAUGAAAGCGGGGGACCGAGCAGCAAUGUUUGGCCUCGCGCCUUUGGAGCGGCUGAUGUCGGAUUAGCUAGUUGGUGGGGUAAAGGCCUACCAAGGCGACGAUCCGUAGCUGGUCUGAGAGGACGACCAGCCACACUGGGACUGAGACACGGCCCAGACUCCUACGGGAGGCAGCAGUGGGGAAUUUUGGACAAUGGGCGCAAGCCUGAUCCAGCAAUGCCGCGUGCGGGAAGAAGGCCUUCGGGUUGUAAACCGCUUUUGGCAGGAACGAAACGGUGUCCGCUAAUACCGGGCGCUAAUGACGGUACCUGCAGAAUAAGCACCGGCUAACUACGUG